GACGAACCGUGCGAACGUUGUUCGGAAUCACUGGGCUUAAAGGGCGCGUAGGCGGAUCAUCAAGUCCGGGGUGAAAUCUUUCGGCUUAACCGGAAAAGUGCCUUGGAUACUGGUGGUCUCGAGUGAGGUAGGGGCAUGUGGAACUUCUGGUGGAGCGGUGAAAUGCGUUGAUAUCAGAAGGAACUCCGGUGGCGAAAGCGACGUGCUGGACCUCUUCUGACGCUGAGGCGCGAAAGCUAGGGGAGCGAACGGG
rnacentral:rRNA from 1 species